rnacentral:lncRNA from 1 species
GAAUUCAAACAGGCGGAAGGCGGCGACAGGAGAAAGGCACCGGCGUAUCUGGUCCUGGACACAACUUUGAACGGUGAAUAAUGGUGUCAGAGGAGAAGGAGCGAGAUGUGGCGUGGAAGGAGCUGCGCAGGAGGAAGAGGAUGGAGGAGGUGGAGGAGCUGACCACUGCGGGACACAACGCUCUGUAAUCGGGACAAACCCAGGAGGCGCUACCGUUUCAGAGGAUCAAAGGAGACUGAAGGCAGCCCGCCAGGUUUCCACGCAGCGGCUUAGGACUAAUUCUACAUCUGGACCUUAAGGACGGCUCUGAAGGACCAUGUGCACGGUGGGAAUGGAGCAUGGGACAGACCUUUGCCAAUCAAAGGAAACCGGUGGAGAGGGGUCACCUGCCAGCCCCAAGUAUUGGAGACAGUGAUGGCAGCCAAGGACUAAUGCCUCCUCUAUGAGGAGGUAAUCUACCUGCUGGACUCCCUGCUUCGGACAUUCCUACAGAAGGGUGUGUAUGGCAUCACCACACCAUAUGAUGUGUUGACUGCAAGGGUGAAAGAACUCCUGGGACUUAUAAAAGCAAUUUUGAAAAAAACAAACAAAAAAAGGGGGGAUUGCCUGAUAUGUAAAUGAACUGUGGAAGUUGUUGAGAUUGUUUAAAUCACAUUGUGGCAUUGGAGUUUAUGCUGUGGCAAUAAGUACCAAAAACAGUCCAAAAGUCGGAUACAGGCAACAUGUUUGCAUUAACUUUUCCACAAGUUUAGGUUUUGACCAGAUUCUGGACUCUCUCGUAUUCAGACACUAAAACAAUAAAAUAUUUUUGCAGAAGUGCAUAAAAGCUCGAUCAAUAUGCACUUCCAGUGGUGCAGAAGUGACAUUCACCUCCGGGUUAAUGUAAUCUUUAUACAAUGUUUUACGUGAUAGCGUUUCAACCAAUGAGCAUCCAGAUUGACAAAUCUACUAAUAAUAAUAAUACAUUUAUUGUCACUGCAUACAUGUAAGAUGUUUGCUUUAAAUUGUUCAGAGGUUGUUUUGACUGCUUAAAGCCAAACUAUGACGAGUCUAUUGAAACAACUGUUUGUGAUACUGCCUUUUGUGUUAUAACCAACAAACAACCCUAACUACACUUAUAAAUUGUUUUACAUAUGUGUACUAUUGUUGAAUUGCAGUCGGAAGACUUAUUUGAAAAUAAACUAAACCUAAACUUAAGACAAACAGCACUGGAGGUAUAACCUUGGUUGGUACAUUAUUUGAUUUGGGUACUAGAAUUAAAUUCACAGAAGUAUUAACCAAUAUUAAUGGUUCCAUUUGUUUGGUUAAAUUUAACCAAUCUGGUUGGUGUCCAACCGAUCUAUUGGUUAAAACAACCAAUCUUAAAAAUGGUAGUGUUUUUAACUAAUCUUGGUUAAAACACUACCAUUUUAGAUAUUGUUUUUUCUAUUCAGU